CUGAGGAGUACAAGUGUGAUCAGGCUUCAAGAGGAAGAUCCUGUGAUCUGCAAGAUAAAAACAGACAAGAAAUGUAUCAUUUAACAUUGUAUUCGUGGACGUUUUUUGAGAAAUCAUGAAAGUUCAUAUGUGGGGGCCUUAUCAAUCGGCGCAAAAAUGGAAGACAGACUGGGCCCAAUCAGUUUACAGCAGAGGCAAAUAAGAGAGGACAUAGGAAAUAAUCCCACAUGACUAAUCCUGAUGGCUUGGAGAAAU